UACGUAGGGUGCAAGCGUUGUCCGGAAUUAUUGGGCGUAAAGAGCGUGUAGGCGGCCUGGUAAGUCCGCUGUGAAAGUCCAGGGCUCAACCCUGGAAUGCCGGUGGAAACUGUCAGGCUCGAGUCCGGAAGAGGCGAGUGGAAUUCCUGGUGUAGCGGUGAAAUGCGCAGAUAUCAGGAGGAACACCAAUGGCGAAGGCAGCUCGCUGGGACGGUACUGACGCUGAGACGCGAAAGCGUGGGGAGCGAACAGG
rnacentral:rRNA from 1 species